UUAUUAAAGGGUUAAGGUUAGGGUUAUUAAAGGGUUAAGGUUAGGGUUAUUAAAGGGUUAAGGUUAGGGUUAUUAAAGGGUUAAGGUUAGGGUUAUUAAAGGGUUAAGGUUAGGGUUAUUAAAGGGUUAAGGUUAGGGUUAUUAAAGGGUUAAGGUUAGGGUUAUUAAGGGUUAAGGUUAGGGUUAUUAAAGGGUUAAGGUUAGGGUUAUUAAAGGGUUAAGGUUAGGGUUAUUAAAGGGUUAAGGUUAGGGGUAUUAAAGGGUUAAGGUUAGGGUUAUUAAAGGGUUAAGGUUAGGGUUAUUAAAGGGUUAAGGUUAUUAAAGGGUUAAGGUUAGGGUUAUUAAAGGGUUAAGGUUAUUAAAGGGUUAAG
rnacentral:lncRNA from 1 species